rnacentral:tRNA from 1 species
UCCGGGGUAGCUCAACGGCAGAGCUCUCGACUGUUAAUCGAGCGGUUGUGGGUUCGAAUCCCACCCCCGGAG